UCAGCAGUACAACAGAUCAUUGAGUCAUCGCAGCAAUCAAAUUAUCAAGUCACUGACCGAAGUUUAUUCAAAUAAAGAACCAACUCUAUGAAUUUGUAGUAUAAAAAUUUAAAAAUCAAAUCGCGCAUUAACACAUGUGCGGAUACUGACGCUAUGCUCGGAUACUUUUUCCCCUUUACUUUUGAAUUUAAUCGGAGAAUAUAUAUCCCAGCACAGCACACACUGGCACACACAGCCGACAAGAGCUCCGGCUGUGGUAAUCGACCGGCGCACAGAACGCGCACACAAUGUAGAUUAGCGCACACUGCCGCACACUUACUAUUUUAUGUACUCAUACUACUGUACUUUGAGCGCGGGCGCACUUCUGACACAUUUACAAUCACAUAUAAUAUAUGUAUAUAUAUAUAUAUAUAUAAUUGCAAAGGUGUAUACUUAAUUAUAUAUAUAUAUAUAAAAUUUUACGCGCCCACGUAUCUGUCAAAUUAUACCAACUAUACUAAUAAUGUAUAUUUAGUUUCGAAUUAAGAUAUUUAGCAUUUGCGUACAGACAUUUUAUAAUUUAUUCAUAUUUUUAAAUAGUCAUAUCAGUAGUACAGAUUUUGAAACCAUGAAACGAAACAGAUAUGCUGAUACUCAAAUCGACUUUUACAACUUAGUAUAUUUUUUUGAAAUUUUUCUACUAAUUUCCACUGUACAGUAAAAGUAGUGAUUUGAAAAAUUAUUAGCGAUGAUUUUUGAUAAUUUGAAAUAAGUUUUUAAAUGUGUAAUUUUGUUUCCUGGCAUAAACUUGAAGACUUGAACUAACCCAGGAUAACUGAGUUGUAGAAAAAGGGAGUAAGCUGUUGGAAGUUGUUCCAGUGGGAACAAUGAGGUGGGUCGUGAGACUGGAAAUAAAGGUUCAAUGGUUGGUUGUUGGGAUUAUUGUUUAGUUAGGUAUAUAUAGUUGUAGACGAGAGCAGUGAAAAGAAAAUCCGAGAAAGGACAUCGUUGUGCAGUAACGUACUUGCAGUUUUGAGGACCACGAUACUUUCCUUUUUUACACCAAUUUAUUUAUUUUUUGCUGGAUGAAAGUUGUCAUUACGAUUAGAAAACCCAUGUCACCAAAAGACAACUCACAUCUCUACACUGGAGCUUGUUGUAUUGGGGCUCAGGUGGUUCAGCACCAAAUGGUAAUAGAAAUCUACGACACAUUCACUUGUAUAUCUCUCCACAUACAUACAAGUAUAUAUUAUAUAUCUCAUUUAAGCUUUUUCAUGCUCUGCUCUGCCAUUCAAAAUAAUACAGCAUGACAAUUUAAUAGUAUUCUCUAUUCUAUAAGAUUAUAUUAUAGUUACCCGUUUUAUUAUCAAGACUAAAA